rnacentral:rRNA from 1 species
CUACGGGUCGCUCCAGUGGGGAAUAUUGCACAAUGGAGGAAACUCUGAUGCAGCAACGCCGCGUGGAGGAUGACACUUUUCGGAGCGUAAACUCCUUUUAUAUAGGAAGAUAAUGACGGUACUAUAUGAAUAAGCACCGGCUAACUCCGUGCCAGCAGCCGCGGUAAUACGGAGGGUGCAAGCGUUACUCGGAAUCACUGGGCGUAAAGAGCGUGUAGGCGGGUUAAUAAAUCAGAAGUGAAAUCCUAUGGCUCAACCAUAGAACUGCUUUUGAAACUGUUAACCUAGAAUAUGGGAGAGGUAGAUGGAAUUUCUGGUGUAGGGGUAAAAUCCGUAGAGAUCAGAAGGAAUACCGAUUGCGAAGGCGAUCUACUGGAACAUUAUUGACGCUGAGACGCGAAAGCGUGGGGAGCAAACAGGAUUAGAUACCCGCGUAGUC